rnacentral:tRNA from 1 species
AAGGGAGACCUAAUUCCGGUAGGAGACGAAAAAAAAGUAGUCCCUACCAAGAAUCAAUCCCAAAAGGUCGAAGCGAGGCAAGAUUGGCUUUCAAACUAGGUUCUGGGUUCAAACAAGACCUGAAUCAGGAACAAGGGCUAUUAGCUCAGGUGGUUAGAGCGCACCCCUGAUAAGGGUGAGGUCCCUGGUUCGAGUCCAGGAUGGCCCACCUGCACAGGUGGCAAAAAUAAAGAAGCGAGGAAUCAGCACCUUAUCUUACUCAUAUAGUAAGAGAGAAUGCUGGCUCUGAGUAAAGAGUCCAGAGGAACCUUGAAAACUGCAUAGAGCUAGGUGAAAAAGCCAAAAAAGAAGACCGCAA